GAUGAACUUUGGGCAUUAGAUUUGGGUAUUGGUUCUUGAGAUAUGGGUGUUGGUUCAUGAUAUUUGGGUAUUGAUUUAUUGAGGUUUGGUGUAUAGGAUGUAUAAGAUUUGGUUCAUGGGAUGUGGUGUAUGAGAUUUGGUUUAUGGACUUGGUGUAUGGUUCAUGAGGUGUAUAGUUCAUGAUAUUUAGUUCAUGAACUUGGGUAUGGUUUAUGGGAUUGGGUUCAUGAAUUUAGUGUAUGAUUCAUGAGGUUUGGAUAUAUGAUCUUUGUUUAUGGUUUAUGGUGUAUGGUUCAUGAACUUGGAUAUGGUUCAUGGAUGAAGUUUAUGAACUUGGUUCAUGGUUCAUGGUUCAUGGUUCAUGAACUUGGUUUAUGAGGUUUAUGGACUUGGUUUAUAGAUUUGGUUCAUGGUUCAUGAAUUUGGUGUAUGGUUCAUGGGGUUUGAUUUAUGGUUCAUGAACUUAGGUAUGGUUCGUGGUGUUUGGUUCACGAACUUGAUUCAUGGUUUAUGGGACUUAGGUAUGGUUCGUGGUGUUUGGUUCACGAACUUGAAUAAGCUAUGAGAUUUGGUCCAUGGGCGUGGGUUGUGGUUUAUGGUUCAUGAUGUUUGGUGUAUGAGAUUUGGUUCAUGAACUUGGAUAUGGUUCAUGGAUAAGGUUUAUGAACUUGGCUCAUGAAUCUUGGUUUAUGGACUUGAUUCAUGAUUCAUGAACUUGGUUUAUGGUUUAUGAAGUUAGGUAUAUGAGAUUUUGUUCAUGAACUUGGAUCAUGGUUUAUGGUUCAUGGUUCAUGGUUCAUGAAUUUGGUUUAUGAGUUUUGGUUCAUGAGACUUGAUUCAUGAACUUGGGUAUAGGAUUUGAGAUUUGAUUCACGAACUUAGGUAUGGUUUAGGUUUAUGAGCCUAAGUUGGAAGUUGGAUUUGAGUUUUGGGUUUGGAUUUGGAUUGUGGACUUGAUUUGAGUUGGGUUUGGGUUUGAUUUGGUUUGGUUUGGGUUUUGGUUUGGAUUUUAGUUUUAUUUAUAGACUUGGUUUGGGUUGGGUUUGGAUUUUAUUUGUAGAAUGGGUUUGGGUUCUUUAUGUGGACUUGGUUUGGGUUAGGUUUGGAUGUGGACUUGAUUUGGGUUUGGGUUCGGAUUUAAUUUGGAUUUUGGGUUUGGGUCUAUUUGGGUUUUGGGUUUGGGUUUAUUUGGAGACUGUAUUUGGUUUUGGGUUUAGAUUUGAUUUGGUUUGGAUUUGGAUUCGGAUUUUAUUUGGGUUUUGGUUUUGGGUUUUAUUUGUGGACUUGGUUCGGAUUUGGUUUGUAUGUGGACUUGAUUUGAUUUGGGUUCGUAUGUGGACUUGAUUUGGUUUGGGUUCGUAUGUGAACUUGAUUCGGAUUUGGGUUUUGGGUUUGGAUGUGGACUUGAUUUGGUUUUGGGUUUGGGUUUAUUUGUGGAAUGGGUUGUGGACUUGAUUUGGUUUUGGAUUUGGAUGUGGACUUAAUUUGGUUUUGGGUUCGUAUGUGAACUUGAUUUGGAUUUGGGUUCGUAUAGGAACUUGAUUCGGAUUUGGGUUCGUAUGUGAACUUGAUUCGGAUUUGCAAUUUGAUUUGGGGUCCGAAUUUGAUUUUGCAAUUUAAUUUGGGGUCCGAAGAAAUCCCCUUUUAAUUUGCAAUUGGAUUUGGGGUUCGAAGAAAUCCCCUUUUUGAUUGAAUUUGGAGUCCGAAGAAAUUCCUUUUUGAUUUUGCAAUUAGAUUUGGGGUCCGAAGAAAUCCCCAUUUGAUUUAUGAUUUGGGGUUCAAAGAAAUCCCCGUUUGAUCUUGAUUUGAUUUGGGGUCCGAAGAAAUCCCCGUUUGAUUUAUGAUUUGGGGUCCGAAGAAAUCCCCUUUGGAAAUUUGAUUUGGGGUCCGAAGAAAUUCCUUUUUGAUUUUGAUUUGGGGUCUGAAGAAAUUCCCGCUUUGAUAUUGAUUUUGGGUCCGAAGAAAUCCCCGUUUGAUUUAUAAUUUGGGGUCCGAAGAAAUUCCCGUUUGAUAUUGAUUUGGGGUCCGAAGAAAUCCCCGUUUGAUCUUGAUUUGGAGUCCGAAGAAAUUUCCGUUUUGAUAUUGAUUUGGGGUCCGAAGCAAUCAUGAUUUGGGGUCCGAAGAAAUCCCCAUUUGAUAUUGAUUUGGGGUCCAAAGAAAUUCUCGUUUGAUCUUGAUUUGGGGUCCGAAGAAAUCCCCGUUUGAUCUUCUAGCGAUGCUGCAGAUGACGUCGACGAAGUUAAUAACGGUGGCGUGGAUCUGUUCGGCUACCGGAUUUGAUUUGACAUUUUCGAAAAAAUUUUGAAGGGUUCGAAGAAACGGAAAAUCAAAGAUUCCCCUCCCCUCUUCUUUCGAAAGUGUCAAACCGUCAGUGUUAUAAAUGAUGUCACUGAAGUUGAUGAUGGUGGCGCGGAUUUGUUUGACCGUCGGAUUUGAUUUGAUAUUUUCGAAGAAAUGUUGAAGGGUCCGAAGAAAUGGGGAAUCAAAGAUCCCCCUCCCCUCUUCUUUCGAAAGUAUUAAACCGGCGAUGUCGUAGAUGUCGUCGGUGAAGUUGAUGACGGUGGCGCGGAUCUGUUCGGCCGACAAAUUUGAUUUGACAUUUUCAAAGAAAUGUUGAAGGGUCCGAAGAAACGGGGAAUCAAAGAUCCCCCUUCCCUCUUCUUUCAAAAGUAUUAAACCAAAGAUGCUGGAGAUAGUCGCAGCAAUGUAGAUCACCCAUUCCAUCAUCAAUGACUUCGAAUAGGGUAUUGAGAGGUCCGAAGAAACGGGGAAUCGAAGAUUCCCCUCCACUCUCCCAU
rnacentral:lncRNA from 1 species